CUGCAGCCAAUUAAGCCGACCGUGCUGGCCUCCCCAUGGCGCCCCGUGUGCAUGUGCAGUGGCUGCAAACAGCAGCCUCCUGAGUAGUGCAUGCAUCCACUGCUUGUAUAGGCUGCGCGAGGGACCCUGGAAACAGCC
rfam:Erinaceus europaeus unplaced genomic scaffold scaffold00515, whole genome shotgun sequence